rnacentral:rRNA from 1 species
GUCGAGAAUCUUCCGCAAUGCGCGAAAGCGUGACGGAGCGACACCGCGUGAUGGAUGAAGUCCUUCGGGGCGUAAACAUCUUUUAUAAAGGAGGAAAUUUUUGACGUUACUUUAUGAAUAAGGGGCUCCCAAUCUCGUGCCAGCAGGAGCGGUAAUACGAGAGCCUCAAGCGUUAUCCGGAAUCAUUGGGCGUAAAGGGUGCGUAGGUGGUUUGAUUAGUCUCCCGUUAAAACUUCGAGCUUAACUCGAAAAGAGCGGGGGAAACGGUCAAACUAGAGUAUGUGAGAGGUGUGUGGAACUCAUGGUGUAGGGGUGAAAUCCGUUGAUAUCAUGGGGAACACCAAAAGCGAAGGCAGCACACUGGCACAUCACUGACACUGAGGCACGAAACCUAAGGUAGCGAAUGGGAUUAGAAACCCCAGUAGUCC